UACGGAGGGUGCAAGCGUUAUCCGGAUUCACUGGGUUUAAAGGGUGCGUAGGCGGGCAGGUAAGUCAGAGGUGAAAUCUCCGGGCUUAACCCGGAAACUGCCUUUGAUACUAUCUGUCUUGAAUAUGGUGGAGGUAAGCGGAAUAUGUCAUGUAGCGGUGAAAUGCUUAGAGAUGACAUAGAACACCCAUUGCGAAGGCAGCUUACUACGCCUAUAUUGACGCUGAGGCACGAAAAGCGUGGGGGAUCAAAACAGG
rnacentral:rRNA from 1 species